rnacentral:rRNA from 1 species
UACGUAGGGUGCGAGCGUUAAUCGGAAUUACUGGGCGUAAAGUGUGCGCAGGCGGCUUCGCAAGUCGAGUGUGAAAUCCCCGAGCUUAACUUGGGAAUUGCGCUCGAAACUACGGAGCUGGAGUGUGGCAGAGGAAGGUGGAAUUCCACGUGUAGCGGUGAAAUGCGUAGAGAUGUGGAGGAACACCGAGUGGCGAAGGCAGCCUUCUGGGCCAACACAUGACGCUCAUGCACGAAAGCGUGGGGAGCAAACAGG